rfam:Clostridium aceticum strain DSM 1496, complete genome.
CGGCUAAUAUCUAUGCAGAGUUGGACCGUUAUACAAUUAAAUCAAUAGGUUUUAAUAAUUUAAAAUGUCCGGCAUCGUAAAGAGCUGGAACGGAGG